CGGGGGGGGCAAGCGUUGUUCGGAAUUACUGGGCGUAAAGGGCUCGUAAGCGGCCAACUAAGUCGGACGUGAAAUCCCCAGGCUCAACCUGGGAACUGCGUCCGAUACUGGAUGGCUUGAAUCCGGGAGAGGGAUGCAGAAUUCCAGGUGUAGCGGUGAAAUGCGUAGAUAUCUGGAGGAAUACCGGUGGCGAAGGCGGCAUCCUGGACCGGCAUUGACGCUGAGGAGCGAAAGCCAGGGGAGCAAACGGGAUUAGAUACCCCGGUAGUCCUGGCCCUAAACGAUGAAUGCUUGGUGUAACGGGUAUCGAUCCCUGUUGUGCCAAAGCUAACGCAUUAAGCAUUCCGCCUGGGGAGUACGGUCGCAAGGCUG
rnacentral:rRNA from 1 species